AAAAAAGUGAUACUUCUAAGCCGAAUUUCGAACAUCGGUCAAUUCCAAACGAAAAAGCAUACCUUUGUCUAUAUUAUGGCAUAUUCUUUAGAGAUUUUUUCUAAAUAGUUAAAAUUUUAUGAGAAAUAUAGUCAAAAUUUUAUUAUCGAUCGUUAUCGAAUUUUCACGGUUUUUUCAAUACUAAAUUGAAAAAAAGUGAUGCUUCUAAGCCGAAUUUCAAACAUCGGUCUAUUCCAAACGAAAGAGCAUACUUUUUUCUAUAUAAUGGCAUAUUCUUUAGAGAUUUUUUCUAAAUAGUUAAAAUUUUAUGAGAAAUAUAGACAAAAUUUUAGUAUCGUUCGUUAGCGAAUUUUCACGGUUUUUUCAAUACUAAAUUGAAAAAAAGUGAUACUUCUAAGCCGAAUUUCGAACAUCGGUCAAUUCUAAACGAAAGAGCAUACUUUUUUCUAUAUAAUGGCAUAUUCUUUAGAGAUUUUUUCUAAAUAUUUAAAAUUUUAUGAGGAAUAUAGUCAAAAUUUUAGUAUCGUUCGUUAUCGAAUUUUCACGGUUUUUUCAAUACUAAAUUGAAAAAAAG
rnacentral:lncRNA from 1 species